CUGGAAAGUGUGGACUUGUGGGCUCCCUAUGAACAGACUCCCGACCCCCAGGCAUCCUUGUUACAUCAAAGAGCCAGACCAUGCUGAGACAGGCCCUGACACACACACACAACACUUUGCUGUGGUCCAGGUGUUUCCAGGACUGUUUGCGGCCAACGUGUAAGAUUGAGCUUUUUGGGGAAAAUAUGCAGGAAGCCACAUGGUGCCUCCUUGGAAGAGGUCAGAGGUCAGCCAGUCCUCAAAGAGAAGUUCUGUUCCCCCACCAUGAGACAUGACGGCAGUGUUUUCAUUAGCAGUUAAUGAUGACAGAUGGUCAUGCAUGAGAGAUACCAGCCUGCAGAGUCACGCAAGGCUUCUGAUUUGGAGGAAACAUCAUGAACGUUUUUAUUUUUAUUUUUGGCACGAAGAGCACAGACCUUCUGAAAACAUAAUUCUAGGAAAUCAAGUCACCAUGAUAUAGGGGAAGCAACCAACUGUAUCCUCCACAUAUUCUUGGCAUAGAAGUUUAUUUCUGGCUACUUUUUUUAAAACUAAUAUUUGUAAUAUUUGUUUUUAGAAUUAAUUGGCAAAUUACAGAUCAGACAGCCCACUGCAAUUUUGUUCCCAGUAUGCUCUGUGAAAUUAAUUACAUUUUUAA